UACGAAGGGGGGCUAGCGUUGCUCGGAAUCACUGGGCGUAAAGCGCACGUAGGCGGAUUCUUAAGUCGGUGGUGAAAUCCUGGAGCUCAACUCCAGAACUGCCUUCGAUACUGAGAGUCUUGAGUUCGGGAGAGGUGAGUGGAACUGCGAGUGUAGAGGUGAAAUUCGUAGAUAUUCGCAAGAACACCAGUGGCGAAGGCGGCUCACUGGCCCGAUACUGACGCUGAGGUGCGAAAGCGUGGGGAGCAAACAGG
rnacentral:rRNA from 1 species